rnacentral:rRNA from 1 species
UACAGAGGGUGCGAGCGUUAAUUGGAAUUACUGGGCGUAAAGCGCGCGUAGGCGGCUUUGCAAGUCGGGUGUGAAAUCCCCAGGCUUAACCUGGGAACUGCAUUCGAGACUGCAUUGCUAGAGUAUGGGAGAGGGAAGUGGAAUUUCCGGUGUAGCGGUGAAAUGCGUAGAUAUCGGAAGGAACAUCAGUGGCGAAAGCGACUUCCUGGACCAAUACUGACGCUCAUGUGCGAAAGCGUGGGGAGCAAACAGG